CACGUAGGGCGCAAGCGUUGUCUGGAAUUAUUGGGCGUAAAGAGCUCGUAGGCGGUCUGUUACGUCUGCUGUGAAAACCCGGGGCUUAACCCUGGGCUUGCAGUGGAUACGGGCAGACUAGAGGCAGGUAGGGGAGAAUGGAAUUCCCGGUGUAGCGGUGAAAUGCGCAGAUAUCGGGAGGAACACCGGUGGCGAAGGCGGUUCUCUGGGCCUGACCUGACGCUGAGGAGCGAAAGCGUGGGGAGCGAACAGG
rnacentral:rRNA from 1 species